rnacentral:rRNA from 1 species
AUUGAACGCUGGCGGCAUGCCUUACACAUGCAAGUCGAACGGCAGCACGGGAGCAAUCCUGGUGGCGAGUGGCGAACGGGUGAGUAAAGUAUCGGAACGUGCCCAGUCGUGGGGGAUAACGUAGCGAAAGUUACGCUAAUACCGCAUACGAUCUAUGGAUGAAAGCGGGGGAUCGCAAGACCUCGCGCGAUUGGAGCGGCCGAUAUCAGAUUAGGUAGUUGGUGGGGUAAAGGCUCACCAAGCCGACGAUCUGUAGCUGGUCUGAGAGGACGACCAGCCACACUGUGACUGGGACACGGGCCAGACUCCUACGGGCGGCAGCAGUGGGGAAUUUUGGACAAUGGGCGCAAGCCUGAUCCAGCCAUGCCGCGUGCAGGACGAAGGCCUUCGGGUUGUAAACUGCUUUUGUACGGAACGAAAAGGUUUGGCUUAAUACGUUGAACUCAUGACGGUACCGUAAGAAUAAGCACCGGCUAACUACGUGCCAGCCGCCGCGGUAA